rnacentral:lncRNA from 1 species
CGAUUUCUAGUUGACUCCUCGCGAACGCAUCGGGUACGCAGCAGCAGACGAGGCAUACGGUUCCCCGAGCACAUACACCUCGCACACGCGGGGAAGAAGAGGACAGCAGGAAUCUCCGGUGACUAAAAUAAGGUAUCUAGUCUAAGCCAUGCAGGCAUGCGUCUACCGGAACGAAGGAGAAGAACCUACUAACCUUGGUUGGCUUGAUGCACAUUCCAUUAGUUUAAUGCAUGAUGCCAUGGCACUCGUGUACCUUGCCACGAACCACUACAGAAUGGUUUCUCCAUGCGUUGAGCUGCCUUGUGCUGUUUCAUUGAUGGGGCCAUCUGAGGUUUUUGGACGCCACCUCUUCCCAAAAGUCAUUACAGCUUUGUUCCCCACCUCCUCGGGAACUCGGAUCGCCAACCCAAGAAAUGCCGUCUCACCCUCCGACUGACAUCUUUGCUUUGUCUCCACAUCCAUCUCUCUCACUACCGUUUCUCCAUUUCUUUAUGAUGUUUCCUUCCUUCUUCGUCGCCGACGGAAAACCCAAAUGCACACACAGUCGUAGAACUCGUGGGCAGUGAGCGACAAGAAACGCCGCACGUGGAUCCGAAACCACAGGCGCAUAUGAUCGCUCCGGGAAUCCACCGCCGGUACAAGUGGCAAGGAGACAUCAGGAAUCUCGACCCAACAGAGAAGAAAGAACCUCGCCAUUUGUUUUGUCUGAUCUCUGUCGAUUGUAUACUAAAUCAAAUAGAAUUGCCAAAUCAUCACUAACCAAUUAUGAUAUGAUUCCUAAAACAAAAAAUCAAACAUGAGAUGUUGCUUGCAAGAAUUUUGUUCUACCAUUAUUAUGAUUUAAACAUCUACAAGAUGGUUCAUAAAGUAAAUUAUAUAUUUAUUAUUUCAUUUACUGUACGUGGAGACUCACAAAAGAUCGACACGAGCCUACAACAAAUGGAUAACAAAAGAGGCAGAGACAGAUGGGAUCCGUGGUCCUGCUUUUAUGCGUUGCCAUGCUUCCAGAUCUCGAUUUGCAUUGUUGACAUGGUUGGAUCUUGCUGUUCUGCCAUUUAUUAUCUCUCCUCCAUCCCCGUCCUCCUCCUCCUAACUCAUUCUUCAUUUAUGCAGACAAGCUUUGGCCAUCUUAAGAUAAAAUCCAGUAAUUUGCGAUGCUCAUAAGUUACACGAUCUUUAUCUAGUUUAAGUUAAACACGAGAUCAACUACAAUUGAGCAUGGAUUAGAUUAGACCUUGGUUUAUUAGCUGAUACCCUUAGCUACUCCUCACCCCCUCCAACCUGUAAUGACUUAGAUCAGACUGCUAAACUAUGCGUUUUAUUAGUAGAGACCACGAGAUAAUGUUGGGUCGCCACGUGUUCCGUCCCACGUCUGUUCCCUCUCCGCGCAGAACGGCGAGUGGAGUCCUGAGCGCCAGCCCAUUCCGUGCUUCCUCUGUUCUUUAAUCCCAUCUCAUCUCCGACGCACUCCUUUCUCUACUUAUAAAUCCCGUUUCCUCUCCUCUCUCUCCACCGAUCAGCAGAAGAAGCCAAAGAUCAGACAGACAGUUAAGCAAGCAUACCCGAGAUUGGAAAGACGAGAUGAUCUCCGGAUUCCGCCGCUCCCUCUCUUUAUCGGGCCUGAGCCCUAACGCCAGCCCCGCCCGCCGGCGCCCCCGCGACGCGCCCCGACACGCGCGUUCCGCC